CAAACAACUUUCAAACAAAUCCAAUAAUCCAAUUUAUCACUGUAUUUAUUCAGUUUUUAUGUAUAACUUUGAAAACAUUUUUGAAGCAAAACGGAAAAAAUUAAAUUCAAAUUUUUUACCGAGGAUGCUUUGCGAAAAAUGUAAAAAGGGACUCAAAUCAUUUUUCUUAUGGAUCCUUGGAAAUGAAUCCAAGCGCGAAACGUCAUUCACCAAAUCUUAGACCCCCAUUUUCACCAAGGAGGAAUACAUUUUUGGAAAAGUGUGGAAGCCCCUUCAAAUGAAUUUAAGCAAAGAACUUUGAAAUAGAGUGUGAAGCCGCUUGGAUGGUAUACAAAAGUGUUUCAUACAAAUGUUUUUCGCGUUUUUUCCAUACUGCAGGUGGAAUAUCCCGAAACCCCGUCUUACGUGCACUUUCAUCACAUAAGAUGACUCAAAAGUGAAUAUAAAGCGAAUUUAGGAAAACGUCAAGAACCAUUAAAAAAUUAAUAAGUAGAUACAAACAUCAAAUAUUCCAGCUAUGAGAGUUCAUGUUACCCUCUAUAUCAAUUUUUAGUCGAUGAAGAGUAUAAUAACUUCUAAGCAAAGCAGGCUCUUUACUUAUAUGUAUUUCCGGCAUGCCACACCUCAAUUCCAAUUUGGGCCAAGCCACACCUAAAUUUAUUUGGUUUUCAAAACUAUCAGUUGUAUAAAUAUUUGCAGUUGAAGCAUAUUCACAAUAUUCAGACACACACAUAUAUCUAAUUCAAUUGAAUUCCAUUCAGAAUUCACAAAAUUCUUUUCAUUAUAUACCAAUCAAAUAUUCACAUAUAGCUGAACCUGGGCUAGGGAAUAAUCAACAGCUUCUCUUCUUUUUAUUUGGAUAUUUCAAGUUGAUUACCAAUUGUCAGGUGCGUCGUCAAUUGAUUUCAUCUGGACAAGCGGCUCGCUGUAUCUAUGAAUAUGUGAAUGAUUCACAAGAUAAAUUGAAUGUGCCACGAAGCGAACGAAAUGAAAAACAUUCAAAAUAAAAAAUAAAAAAAAAAUGAAAAGGAAAAUAAAUAAAAUAAAGUGCAGAGAGAAAAGUUUGCCGCAAAACAA